CCGAAGAUGUGCGCUCUCCCUGCGCACAAUGCUGCACCGAGCCCCCUCGCGCAGUAAGGCAUGGCACGGUGCCACCUGCGCCCGUGCCAAGCCCAUGUCCAAGGCUUCAGCCCUCCUUCGGUGUGCCAUCCCGAAGAUGUGCGCUCUCCCUGCGCACAAUACUGCACCGAGCCCCCUCGCGCAGCAAGGCAUGGCACGGUGCCACCUGCGCCCGUGCCAAGCCCGUGUCCA
rnacentral:lncRNA from 1 species